GUUUGAAGAUAGGCUUCAUGAAGAUGCUAUGCAGUUGGCUUGCUUCUGAGACAUUUGAACAGCCAGCAUCUUACAAUCUCCCAGAAUUUCUGAAGUAGAACAUACUUGUUUAACAUUGUCUUAUUUUUAGAUAAUCAAUUUUAGGUCAGGCAUGGAGGCUUAUGCCUGUAAUCCCAGCACUUUGGGAGGCUGAGGCAGGCAGGUCACUUGAGGUCAGGAGUUUGAGACCAACCUGGCCAACAUGGUAAAACCCCAUCUCUACUAAAAAUACAAAAAUUAUCCAGGAGUGCUGGUGUGCAUCCGUAAUCCCAGCUACUGGGGAGGCUGAGGCAUGAGAAUAGCAUAAACCUGAGAGGCAGAGGUUGCCGUGAGCUGAGAUGGUGCCACUGCACUCCAGCCUGGGCAACAGAGCGAGACCCUGUUUCCAAAAAUAAAGAAAGAGGUAUCAUACGGACACAGUGAAAAAUGCAAGCAUAAUAAGAAUUAGUGAAUCUGGGCCAGGUGUGGUGGCUCACGCCUGUAAUCCCAGCACUUUGAGAGGCUGAGAUGAGCAGAUCAAAAGAUCAGGAGUUCAAGACCAGGCUGGCCAAUAUGGGGAAACCCCGUCUUUACUAAAAAUACUUUAGCCAGGCAUCGUGGUGGGCACCUGUAGUCCCAACUACUCGGGAGGCUGAGGCAGGAGAAUCGCUUGAACCCAGGAGGUGGAGGUUGCGGUGAGCCGAGAUCACGCCAUUGCACUCCAGCCUGGGUAACAAGAGCAAAACUCCAUCUUAAAAAAAAAAAGACUAAUAGCAUAAUCAUAAGACUGGGCAUGGUGGCUCAUGCCUUAAAUCCCAGCACUUUGGGAGGCCAAGGCAGGAGGAUCAACCACUUGAAAUCAGGAGUUUGAGAUCAGACUGGACAACAUAACAAGACCCUGUCUCUAUUUAAUAAAGAAAUAAGACUAAAAAAGAAUAAGGAAGCUUUCUGUAUAUACUAUUAUGGAAGGAAGUCUAAUAUAAUUGCAAAAACAAGUUGUUAAACUUAUAUAUACCGUAUUUUUAAAAUAAUACGUUUUAAUCAUGUCUUGACCCAUCCACUUCUCUUUGGGGCUUCCUUCUAAGGAAGCUUAAUACAUAAAAACAGUGACAAAG
rnacentral:lncRNA from 1 species